rnacentral:misc_RNA from 1 species
AUAUAUAUAUAUAUAUAUAUACUUAAAUUAAACAAUUAAUUAAUAAGAACAAAAAGUAAAAUCAUCAAAUUAAUAAUAAAUUAAUAAUACCAUAUAAAAUAAACAACUAAUGUCUAAUUAACAAGACAAAAGUAAAACUAAUUAAUCUAACAACUAAUUAACAAUAAUAAGAAGUAAAAAGUAAACUAAUUAACAACAAUUUAAUAAUGUCCAUAUAAAUUACA